rnacentral:lncRNA from 1 species
AGUCAAACCACCACAGCACCUAAAGACUUUCUUUUAAAAUGAGUAUCAAGACUUCGAGCGAUUUUUAGCCUGGGAAAUGUAAAGCAUAGAAGAGGGAGAGUCUCUUACAGGACAGUUAUUAGCAGCAGUGGGAUAGAAAAGGCUAAUUAUUCACACCGUCUGCAGAAAGUCAGCCAUUGAACUCCUUGUCUUCAAGGCACUGUCUCUAGUGUACCGAGUCUUGAGCCGGCACAACAACACUGUUUGCACUGUUGGUUCCCAGGCCUUGACACUUCCAACUGCUGCUGCCUUACAACAGCGUGUUGAAAGAGUAAUUGUAGUUUUGGGGUUUUGUAAUUUGCUAUUUCUGUGCCUUUUUUUGAGACGGGGUGUCUCUAUAUACCUUGGCUGGCCUGGAACUCAUUAUGUAAAUCAGGCUGACCUUGGACUCACAGAUAUCCACCUGCUGUCUCCAAAUGCAGGCGAGUGGUACCACAGCUUGCUCUCAUUUCUUACUAAUGACUCUUUAUAUGCAGCCUACUUUAUACUGUGGUGAUGAUGUUAGGCAAAAAACAAAUCCUACUUUUUAUCUGAGUUCCAAGUUGUAAAGCAGCAGCAGCUGGAAGUGUCAAGGCCUGGGAACCAACAGUGCAAACAGUGUUGUUGUGCCGGCUCAAGACUCGGUACACUAGAGACAGUGCCUUGAAGACGAGGGCCUCAGUGGCUGACUUUCUGCAGACAGUGUGAAUUAGUGUGGCUCAGUCAGUGGCCAUUCAGUGUUUGGAACAGAUUGGAAAGAUGAAAAGGCCGCUCUGUGGUGUCAUGAACCGACUGAGAGUAAAAACUCCCGGGUUUGUACUGUGAUCCUGUCCUGUUGUGCACAGCAGCGCACCAUUUCUCCAUCGGCCUGUGAAGUGCCAGGAAAAUGAGUUGUAUGUGACAACCAGUGAGACACAUCGGUGGCUGCACACAGAAGAUGCUAUAGUGUACUCCCCAAAGCCAAACUUGCAUCAAAAAUACCAUGGUCACUGAUGUCUGGGCUUUCCGAGUCCCGACAGAACCCUUCCACCUGAAGCGUGUGCUCAGUGGACUCGUGAGACGCACCCAAAGCUGCGGUGCCUACAGCUGGCGUUGCUCAGCACCAGGGACCCAGCUCGCCAUGGUAGCAGCCACUUGCACAUUGUACAACUAAUGAGUCAAAAGCUGAACACAUUGAGCUCCACCACCAACCUCACAGACCUCUCACAGCAGCUGAUGACUACUUCAAGGUUUCUUCAACAACAAAACCCAGAGAGGAUGCUUCUACGACUAGUAGGACUCAGAUGACACUCUCCAAGAAGCCCUCAAAUCCUGAGUCAGGGACUAAAACAGUAUUUAUUUGUGUAUGUUUGUGGCUUUUGCAUGUCAUGUUGUACAUGUGGAGGUCGGAGGACAAGUCAUCUCUCUCCUUCCAAAUGGGCUUCCAGAGACCCAGCUCGGUCCUGAGACUUCGUGGCAAGUGCAUUAAUGUGCUGAGCCGUUGCCAGUCCAUCAAAAUAGAUUUUUUUUUAAUGCUAUAGGAAUAAACAUUUCUUACUGG